UUGAACUGGCAACCUUUUGGUGCACAGGCUGACACCCAACCAACUGAGCCACACUAGCCAGGGCUCCAGCUUGUUUUUAUUUUUUGCUUCUUUAUGAAUGUAUUGGGGUGACACUGGUUAGUAACAUUAUACAGGUUCUAGGUGUCUACACAUUCUGGUGCCUCCCCUGAAGGCUCUUCUUCCUACUCAUCUGGUUCACUCCUUCACCUCCUUCCGGCCUUGGCUUUCAUGUUACUUCCUCUGAGGUCUCUCCUAAUCACUCCAUGUCAAGGGGACGCCCUCUCCUCCCGGAGAUAUGCUCCGGGACAUCCCCGUUCCCAGUUGCACAGCUGACUCCAGGUGCUGUCGCUGGGACAGAGAACCACUGCCCUAGAACUGCCAGACAACACUCCAACCGAGCCACCGGGCCAGGGCCUCAUGGCCUUGUCCAUUCUGCAGGUUGGGGAGAAUGCCCAGAGCACUGGUGAGGUCAACAGGGCCAUCGUUCCAGGACCAGCCCCUGCACAAGGCAGGCAGGUGUCCGCAGUCUGUCAUUAGGAAGCUGAGAAGUACUACUUUAUGGGAACAUCCGUGCUGCCCACUAUGUACAUUAGUGCAAAAUUUGUAGGUACUAAAAGCUGUUUAUGAAUAAAAAUAUUUAAUUCUGUUAAUGAAAUUGCA